rnacentral:rRNA from 1 species
GCAAGUCGAGCGAGAAUUAUUGGAUAGAUCCUUCGGGAGAUUGAAGAUGAGGAAAGCGGCGGACGGGUGAGUAACGCGUGGGAAACCUGCCCUAUACACAGGGAUAGCCAUUGGAAACGAUGAUUAAUACCUGAUAAGACCACAGCAUCACAUGUUGCAGUGGUAAAAAUUCCGGUGGUAUAGGAUGGUCCCGCGUCUGAUUAGCUAGUUGGUAAGGUAAUGGCUUACCAAGGCGACGAUCAGUAGCCGGCCUGAGAGGGUGAAC